AACUUUCAGCAAUGGAUCUCUUGGUUCUCGCAUCGAUGAAGAACGCAGCGAAUUGCGAUAAGUAAUGUGAAUUGCAGAUUUUCAGUGAAUCAUCGAAUCUUUGAACGCACCUUGCGCUCCUUGGUAUUCCGAGGAGCAUGCCUGUUUGAGUGUC
rnacentral:rRNA from 1 species